GACGAACGCUGGCGGCGUGCCUAAUACAUGCAAGUCGAGCGAACGGACGAGAAGCUUGCUGCUCUGAUGUUAGCGGCGGACGGGUGGGUAACACGAGGAUAAUAUACUUAUCAGACUGGGAUAACAACGGGAAACCGGAGCUAAUACCGGAGAAUAUUUUGAACCGCAUGGAUCAUAAGUGAAAGACGGUUUUGGUGUCACUUAUGGAUGGAUCCGCGCUGCAUUAGCUAGUUGGUAAGGUAACGGCGUACCAAGGCAGCGAUGCAUAGCCGACCUGAGAGGGUGGUCGGCCGCCCUGGAGCUGAUGCACGGCCCCGACUCCUACGGGAGGCAGCAGUAGGGAAUCUUCCGCAAUGGGCGGAAGCCUGACGGUGCAGCGCCGCGUGAGUGGUGAUGGUCUUCGGCUCGUAGAGCUCUGUUAUUGGGGGAGAACAUAUGUGUAAGUAUCUGUGCGCAUCUUGACGGUACCUAGUCAGAAAGCCCCGGCUAACUACGUG
rnacentral:rRNA from 1 species